rnacentral:rRNA from 1 species
CGAUGGAUAGGGGUUCUGAGAGGAAGGUCCCCCACAUUGGAACUGAGACACGGUCCAAACUCCUACGGGAGGCAGCAG